GCUAGAUUUGAAAGCACCCCGUUGGCUAUGCUGUUGCCAAGAUCUUUAAGAUAAUGUGGGGGGUGAUAUUUGCAGGCGAAUGCACAUGGAAACAAAUGGAGAUUUCAUCACCCCUCUAUACUUUGCCCUCGGUUUUACUCAGAAAAACAGCUGGAAGUUAGUUUGUGUUUACUUGGUAGUUGUGCCACAUGGACUCUGACUGGACUAUUCCUCUUGCAGCUACUCAAUAACUCAACUUUUUAAUAUCUCUCCUCAAAACGUCUAUCUGGAAAAAGUACUUAAGGCAGUAAGGGUUCAAAGCGUGUGUGUUUUGUUCUGCCCCAGGUUGCUUGCUCUUUUUUUUUCUUACACAAGAGCAUAAAAAUGGCCAUAUGAUCAAGGGUCCAACUCUCCCAAUAGCCUCUCUUCAGCAACGAUCAUAAGUGGUCACCAAAGGAAGAGUAUGAAUAAGGAAGACACAGUGAUAAUUCUCCCAACUACUCUCCCAGUCUCCAGCUGCUUUGGUUUUGGAGCAUUUCCUCGGCAGAAUGUGGUUUCUGUGCACUUGUAGCUCGCAGUGAAUUUCUAUACCAGGUUCAACUGGCUCCACCAGCCUUCUCAUGGUGCCUCCUAACUCUACUGCAGGAAAAGACAUCAGAGAACUGACCCAUAUCCACACUCUUGCUGCCUUAUCAUAUCCUGCCCAGCUUGCCUUUUCCCAUCAAAAUAUGAGGAUGACUGUGAAUAGGAAAAAAAAAAAGCACUUAAAGGAUGUGUAUGCACAAAGUAUGGAGACACACAGGUGAAAGAAAUUUGACUGUUCGCUCUGAACCAGCAAAGCUAAGAAUAGCUUUAACUUUGCAAGUAACUGCCACCGAAGUAAAUGGUAAUAUUUCUAUUGGAGUGCUGUAAGGCUUGUUCCCAUGAGAUGAGUCAAAACUUCUAAAAGCCUCUGCUUCAAAUGAAAGAAAAUCUGGUCCCAGAUGUCACUAAUUGGGAACAGGUUAGCAGAGAGAUUUAAACAGAGAUGCCUGAAGUUACAAUUCAUCAUGUGGGAUCUAACAACAGCCUAUUUCACUAGGCUCUUUCAUUUAGUUUGUAUGAUAAUAAGCUUUAACUAGUACCACGCAAAACACAGAGGAUACAUUCAAGCAGGAAAAUUGCAUUAAUACAGGUCUUUCUAAAUGCUAUUAGUGUUUGCAAUAUACCAUGUACCAUGUAAACAUCUCCUUUCUAUCCAUAGGUUUGGCAUAUGCACAGACUGAAAAAGAAAUCCAUUCAUCAAAGUAUUUUGUUUCUCAUAUCAAGUGACCUGUUUCUUAACUUCUGACAUUUAAGAAGUAAAUUUAAAUUGAAAGAGUUAAAUGUCUUUCAGCAGAUCAUUAAAGAACAUUUUUAAAUUAAUUUUCUGUAAUAAACAAGAUAUUUGGAGAGGAAAGAAGGAGUAGAGGGAAUUGUGGUUAGUUAUGAUGUAGCAUUGGUUUUGCUGCUGGAAUCAGCAAGAAUUUUGCCAUUAAUUUCAAGGGUAGAAGGAUCAAGCUAACUACAUUACAGUCGCAUUAAACAAAUCAACGGAAAUACGUAUUGCCCACAGGGUUAAAAUAGGCCAUACUUAAUUUGAAAUCUAGUCUUUAAAAAAAUAAAAAGAUCUAAUUACAAAUAAUCAAGAGAGUUUGUACAUUUACAUGCAAGCUUGGUCCAAAGACCUCUGAAGUCAACUAACCAUUCUCAACACAUUUUAACUAGUUGAAAUUGCCUGAUACAGCUUACUAUCUGCUAAUUAUUUGAGUAAGAUACUGGCACUUCUGCUCAGUUAAAAAUGUUGAAUUAGUAUUUAUAAGACUUUUUCCUAUAGUACCGUGUAACAAUGUACUUGAACAUAUAAAUUCUGGCAUGCCCCAAAUGACAGUAUUUUGUGAACCUGAUUAUUCAUUGUCCUGUGCCUCAUGUUAAUCAUUAUCACUGGUGCUAAUGUGAGUAAGGCAGAAUGAUGGUGGGAUUUUUCUUUCACUGUCUUUGCUUUGUCUCAAAUGACUAUAUAAGCAUCUGGGCAAGUUAGGUCCACUGAAUUUCUCGGGCAAAAUUCUCCUUACUUCAUAGGAAAUAGGAUCCAAUCCAAGUUAUGUGAAACAUUUUAUGUUGUGGAGAUGACUUUAGAUGUAGUCUGUCCUUCAAAUAAAGUGGUUGGUAUGUACAUGUAUACUAAUUAACCAUAUAUUUAUUAUUUCAGGAUGUCAUUUAUUCAUGUGUAAUUUCUUUUUAGUCUUAAUUUCAUGGUCUUGUGAAUCUUAAGAUCUGCAUUUGAAUACUGCAGUUGAGGUACACUGGUUCUGAAAAGAAAGGUUUUAAACAGCGAGAGCCCACUUCCCAUUUUUUAUUGCUGGAUCCAUAGGUCAUUAUAAUUAUUCUGAUAUGCAACACUAGAGAGUCUGGCUCCCUUUCCUGUUAUAGUAAUCUUUGCUCUCACUGACAUACUGUGAUGUACUGUGGGAGCCAGACAACCACUGGGCAUUGAGGAAGGUGUAUCCCCUUUGGAAGUCUUGGCUCAGGAGAAGCAGAGAUGGAACUUAAAAUUGCAUUUCAACAAAAAUUGAGUUUUUCACUUAAAAGAAAAUUGUUGUAAAUUUUUCACGUAGUGCAACUGGCAGCUGCACCUGAAUUCUAUCAGGGAUUCAUC